GAAACAUCUGUAUUACUCCCCGUGAGUCUGAGCCUUCAGGAUCACCGGAAGGAACAAAAUGCCAUCAAGUGUUCCAGUGUUGCUGUCACAUCAUGUACAACACCUGGUGAUGGUCUGCAUGGGACUGAUGGGACACAGAACGGACCUGCACCUCAGGACCUAAUGCCUACAGUCACAUCAUCGAGCACUGGCCCAUAGAAGAAUAUGGACAUCCACUGAUCAUCGCUCGUCUUGAAUUGUACCAACACACGUCGCGAAGAAAAUUGUAUAAGCAUCGCGACAUAGCGGAUCUCUGUAUUAGGGAAAGCUUACCCUUUAAUUAACCUGAUCAUUGGUUCAUGCUGUGAAGGGGUGGAAUGUAUGAGAACUACUGAGUUAUGGCCUGAACCUCUGAUUGAUCACCUGAGGUGAGCACUGAGUCAGCCAGAGGAGCACAGGUGAAGGCAAUUCACCUGUGAUGCCAGAAGGGGUGGAGCCUGGCUGCAGCCCUCCUAGACCUAUUGAAGAGCUGGCUGCCAGUGGGGAAGGAUCUCUGCUGGAGAUUGGCUCUGCUGGUGUUUUGUGAGUGAGCCCAGGAUAGGGAGGCCUUGGGAGCUUAAAGGUAGAACUAACCAAAAGGGGAAAGGUGAAAGAAGCCAGCGAAGGUAAUAUCAGCGAGGCAUUCCAAAAGAUGUGUCAAAGCUUAACAUGCCCCCAGUUCAGAAAAUAGGAGAGGAAGGUGGCUUUCGCCGUUGUUGCUUUGUUUGGAUUGAAAGUUUCCAUCUGCUCCCUUUGAUCGUGGAGAGAAGACACAGAAGUACAUGGUGGAGAUGAAUGGUAACUUACAUCCUUGCAGAAGGCUCCACUGGCAAUUUAGGAGGGGAAAAGGAGAUGGAAAG